rnacentral:rRNA from 1 species
GAGUGAACGCUGGCGGUAGGCCUAACACAUGCAAGUCGAACGGCAGCACAGUAAGAGCUUGCUCUUACGGGUGGCGAGUGGCGGACGGGUGAGGAAUACAUCGGAAUCUACUUUUUCGUGGGGGAUAACGUAGGGAAACUUACGCUAAUACCGCAUACGACCUACGGGUGAAAGCAGGGGAUCUUCGGACCUUGCGCGAUUGAAUGAGCCGAUGUCGGAUUAGCUAGUUGGCGGGGUAAAGGCCCACCAAGGCGACGAUCCGUAGCUGGUCUGAGAGGAUGAUCAGCCACACUGGAACUGAGACACGGUCCAGACUCCUACGGGAGGCAGCAGUGGGGAAUAUUGGACAAUGGGCGCAAGCCUGAUCCAGCCAUACCGCGUGGGUGAAGAAGGCCUUCGGGUUGUAAAGCCCUUUUGUCGGGAAAGAAAAGCAGCAGGUUAAUACCCCGCUGUUCUGACGGUACCCAAAGAAUAAGCACCGGCUAACUUCGUG